UACAUUAAAAUGUUUAUGCAUGUAAAUUUUUGAAAUUUAAAGAUUUAAUUUAAAAUUAAAUAAUGUAA
rnacentral:tRNA from 1 species